CUUGGGGGGGGGGGGGGGUCCCCUCAGCCCGGAUUGCGAGAGGGUGCAGGCCAGGCCGAAGGACCCCACUGGUGCAGG
rfam:Myotis brandtii contig264659, whole genome shotgun sequence.